rnacentral:rRNA from 1 species
UACGUAGGUGGCAAGCGUUGUCCGGAAUUAUUGGGCGUAAAGCGCGCGCAGGCGGCCUCCUAAGUCCGAUGUGAAAGCCCACGGCUCAACCGUGGAGGGUCAUUGGAAACUGGGGGACUUGAGUGCAGGAGAGAAGAGUGGAAUUCCACGUGUAGCGGUGAAAUGGCGUAGAAGAUGUGGAGGAACACCAGUGGCGAAGGCGACGUCUUUGGCCGUGGAUAAUCAGACCGCUGAAGGCCGCGAAACGUGCGUGGGGGGGAGCAAAACCAGGGAUUGAA